rnacentral:rRNA from 1 species
UACGUAGGGGGCAAGCGUUGUCCGGAAUCAUUGGGCGUAAAGCGCGCGUAGGCGGCCCUGUAAGUCCGUUGUGAAAGUCAAAGGCUCAACCUUUGAAAGCCGAUGGAUACUGCAGGGCUAGAGUCCGGAAGAGGCGAGUGGAAUUCCUGGUGUAGCGGUGGAAUGCGCAGAUAUCGGGAGGAACACCAAUGGCGAAGGCAGCUCGCUGGGACGGUACUGACGCUGAGACGCGAAAGCGUGGGGAGCAAACAGG